AAACGAUUCAAGUCAGACGCGUCGCCCAGUAAUCAACCUCGGCUCUUUCGCAGAGGCUCACUUUCUGGGUUCGACGGGUCAGCAUCAAUUUCAACCGUCAGAUAAAGUCAAGAGGAAUGUGGCAUCUUCGGAUGUGUUUAUAGCCUCCUGUUCGCAUGUGGCGGUUGGGAUUGAGGACGUCGACACGAUCCCGCAAGGGAUUUUCGGGACCACUCGUGGUCCACGUAAACGUGUCUCGGAUGCUGGCAUAAUGGCUUGAACCGA
rnacentral:rRNA from 1 species